ACCACCACGGUGACCCCCCCGCUGCCCCUCCGGUGUUCCCCCGCUGCCCCUCCGGUGCUCCCCCGGCACGGCCCGUCUGGGAUCGUGAGAGAGAGUCGAUCUCAGUGUGUGAGCCCUUGCCGCGACACCCCUUCCCACACCGCGUGCGUUGCUUGCCCUGUGUGACACACCCCGCAAGCUCGUUACCAUGCCCAGAUGCAGAGGUGUCUGCAAUGAGACAAUCAUUGGAUUCUCAGCAUUUUCACUGGCAGUUCUUGGACCAGCUGGAUGGUUCUUGUGCCACCUUCCAAGCUAUAAAAAGAAAUAGAAAACAUCCCUUCAAAAUUAACAUCUGAAGGCUGCAAUAAACUGUAAUGCUCCAAACUUGGAUUCUCUUGAAAGUGCUGAUACAGCAUAUGGCUAACUAAAGUCCCAGUUCACACACUAUUAUCCAUCCUGUAUGCCAGGUCCAGGUCACAAAGCUUUUGCAGAUUUUGUAGAACUGAGCCCAGAAAUUAAAUGGUGUAGGAAUGCAAAAUAGUGGCAGGUCUACUCUGCCAUCACCUGCUGCACUGAACCAGUCUGUGUGUACCAGUCUGAAUCUGUCAUCAAGUACUGUGGGAAAUGGAAGAUCGGCAAGGAGGAUUGUAAACACGCUUGAGUGACCUGCAGUUUGGGUCUCAAAAAUACAUAUAUCAUACUAAUUGUCGUUUGACCUUGUGUGUUAGACAAGUAAAACAUCUGUGUCUAGGCCUGUGAUAGCCUUAGAGGCACCCUGUCAAACAUGCUUGAGAUUCUUGCCCAGCUGUGGGCAAGGUUAAAGCACAGUGGUAAAUUAUGCUUGUGCAAAUCCCUGAAAUACAGGAGAAAAAAGCAGGUUGAGUGAUCCUAUGGCAUGGAUAAAGCUUCACAGUGCCUGUGUUCUCGCUUGUGUGUCUCUUCUGACUGCUGCUUCAGUGAUCCCUCGUUGGUGAGGUAAUAAAAAUGAAUUUACUCUUUGCAUUUAAUCUGUGGUUUUGUGGUUGUUCCUGUGUCCUGCCUGUGUCAGCUCUUACUGGUACUGUCAAAGCUUUAAACUAAAUAAAUGGGAGAAAAUACAGAAAAAAAAUAUUUUUAUAGUCAUCUCAGACAAAAAUUCGGAGAGUUUAAGAUUAUUUUCUCCAAAGUUUCUCUUUAAUCUUUACACAUGUUCUUUUGGUGUGUUCCCCCACCCCAUCUAUUCUUCCACAAGAAUAAAUGUUUUUCUGCAGGUCAUGAUUGUUAGAUACUUCACUUUAUUUUCAAUGUCUAGAUUAAAAUUUGUGACAUUUGAGAUAUUUUCCCAUGAUUACUAUUUAUAAUAAAUGCUAUGAUAAAUA